rnacentral:rRNA from 1 species
CCAUGUGGCCAUCUCAUUCGGAAUGUGCCUGAUCUCUUCUGAUGUCAGAAGCUGAGAAGCUCUGGGCUGGCUUAGCAUUUGGGAGGGAAAAGGAACUUUCCUAGA